CUCAGAGUUGACAGAUUCGAGGUCGUUUCCGAUGGGCUGGGUUGUUCCUUGCCGCUCCAAUGGCUAACUGUCAGGUUACUAUCCGUGCCAUGUUACUAUGUGUGCUCAUCCUGCUACACAGGAUGUCUACAGUUAGACGUUCUGGAAUCCGAGGGAGCAUAGCUUCGUAUAACAAUGGCAUAUGGAGCAACUUCUUCUGUUUAUCUUUUUGGACAACGAAUUGACAUUCUUCCAAAUCCUCUAACUGAAGGCAUAUAUGAGGCAUACAUGACACAAUAAAGUCAAGUAGCUCAUGGAUUGGAUCCAUACCCAGCUUGGCCAUGAACCAAUAUUCUCUCAAAAGCUUGGUAAAUAUUUUUUGUUGAAUGAAGAGUACUUGAAAAAGGAACACUGAUUUGGUCCGAGAUUUUGGUCUGAUCAUGUAUUGUGGCAAUAGGCGCUCCCUUCCCUCUAAACUUCCAUGUUGUCAUCAAGGUGAUGUUAAAAGGUAGUCUGUGCGGUGUGUGUGCGCACACAUAUAGCACUUAGCGUUUUCAAAUGAUUGUGAAGCUCAACACUUUCUGUAAGCACUUUGUGCUCUUCAUAGGGUAAUGCCCGUUCUUAAUAUGCAUGAUGUUUCAUCUCUGACCACUUACUGGGGCAUGAUUAGUGUGCUAUAUUGUUUUUAGGGAAUUGAAGGAGAUGAGAUAAAUUGGCUCGGCAAAGCAAAGAUAAAAAAAAAGCCAAGCAUGUUCUUAAAAUAAUGUAAGUGGUAGCAAGUAUGCAUCUUCAAUCACUAUUUUGCAGCAUGUUCUGGAGGUAAAUCAGAUACUUGAUGCCAUGUAUAGUAAAAUAAGAAAUACGCAGAGGUUUCAGCCAAUUUGUUUUCAUGCAAACAGUAGAAAUUUCUCCCUACUGCGUGUAUGUACAAACGCCUUGGUGUAAGUUUGAUGUAAGUUUUAGUUCAUUCCUGAGCUGGACAGUGAUGACCAUAAACGCCUUGGUGUCUAAAUUUUCCCAAGGUUCUGUAUAUACAACAAAAACUUAAAAGGAUUGGGUGGAGGGUGCCCUCACCUGUGUUUGCUGAGCUCAAUAUAGAUGCCUCUUUUGAUGAAAUCAUUUCUAGAAUUAUGCUAGAGCAAUCA